CCUACGGGUGGCAGCAGUGAGGAAUAUUGGUCAAUUGGCGCGAGCCUGAACCAGCCAAGUAGCGUGAAGGAUGACUGCCCUACGGGUUGUAAACUUCUUUUAUAAAGGAAUAAAGUGAGGCAAGUGUGCCUUUUUGUAUUGACUUUAUGAAUAAGGAUAGGCUAACUUCGUGCCAGCAGCCGCGGUAAUACGGAGGAUCCGAGCGUUAACCGGAUUUAUUGGUUUUAAUGGGAGCGUAGAUGGGUUGUUAAGUCAGUUGUGAAAUUUUGCGGCUCAACCGUAAAAUUGCAAUUGAUACUGGUAGUCUUGAGUACAGUUGAGGUAGGCGAAAUUCGUGGUGUAGCGGUGAAAUGCUUAGAUAUUACGAAGAACUCAGAUUGCGAAGGCAGCUUACUAAACUGCAACUGACAUUGAUGCUCGAAAGUGUGGGUAUCAAACAGGAUUAGAUACCCGGUAGUC
rnacentral:rRNA from 1 species